CAGGUGGCCUAAGGGAUAAGGCAUUGGCCUGUGGAGCCUGGGAUUGUGGGUUCAAGUCCCACCCUG
rnacentral:tRNA from 1 species